UACGGGGGGGGCAAGCAUUGUUCGGAAUUACUGGGCGUAAGGGCGCGUAGGCGGCCUUCUAAGUCGGACGUGAAAUCCCCUCGGCUUAACCGAGGAACUGCGUCCGAUACUGAAAGGCUUGAAUCCGGGAGAGGGAUGUGGAAUUCCAGGUGUAGCGGUGAAAUGCGUAGAUAUCUGGAGGAACACCGGUGGCGAAGGCGGCAUCCUGGACCGGCAUUGACGCUGAGGCGCGAAAGCUAGGGGAGCAAACGGG
rnacentral:rRNA from 1 species